CACUAUACCGUGAAACUGCGAAUGGCUCAUUAAAUCAGUUAUCGUUUAUUUGAUAGUACCUUACUACUUGGAUAACCGUGGUAAUUCUAGAGCUAAUACAUGCUAAAAACCUCGACUUCGGAAGGGGUGUAUUUAUUAGAUAAAAAACCAAUGCCCUUCGGGGCUUCUUGGCGAUUCAUAAUAACUUAACGAAUCGCAUGGCCUUGUGCCGGCGAUGGCUCAUUCAAAUUUCUGCCCUAUCAACUUUCGAUGUUAAUGUAUUGGAUUAACAUGGUUUCAACGGGUAUCGGGGAAUUAGGGUUCUAUUCCGGAGAGGGAGCCUGAGAAACGUAAGCUUUGCUCCGCGAUCUUGAUCUUCGAACCACAUGCUAAUCAUUAUAAUAGGGCUACCACAUCCAAGGAAGGCAGCAGGCGCGCAAAUUACCCAAUCCCGACACGGGGAGGUACGUUUUCCAAUGUCUUUACUGUAGUGAAUUUUACUAAUAUUCUUUCUAUAGGUAGUGACAAUAAAUACUGAUACAGGGCUCUUUUGGGUCUUGUAAUUGGAAUGAGUACAAUUUAAAUCCCUUAACGAGGAACAAUUGGAGGGCAAGUCUGGUGAACGAUCGUUCUAUACUGGCGCCAGAAAUAGUGAUGCGCCGGUCGGCCUU
rnacentral:rRNA from 1 species